CGCGGCGCCUCCCCGGGCGGCCUGCGCCGCGCGGGCCCCGCCGCCGGGCGGGCGGCAGGAAGGGUGGCUGGGGGUGUGUGUGGUGAGCGCUCGUGGUGAGCCCUGGGGCGGCGCCUGGCGCUGCGAGGCCGCCGGGGCUCCUCCUCCUCCGGCAACGGGCCCUGCUCCCGGCGGCGGGGAGCGCGGCCAGCCUGAGGUGUGGCGAAACAAACCAAAGCCAGCCAAACCAAACCAACCAACACCAAGCGCACCCCCGCCAAAAAAAAAUAAUAAAAAAUCCAACUCUCUCUCCAAAAGAAAAAUGAAAAGGGGCAAAAGAGCAGCGGUGUGUGUGGUUCACGCUGCUCUCUUGAGGUAACUUUUCCAGAAAGGCCAUUGAAGUUACCGGCAGGUUUUGAAAUCGGGAAGUCAGCCGCGCUCCAGCAGGCCGAAGAGGAAAAGGAGGUUGUGAAAAAGUCGAACGUCAUAUGCAGUGAGUCUUAAGGGAACUGAGAAGACCUCAACUGUUAGCAUGAGAAGAAGAAAUCUCCUGGUUGGCAGCUGUCUUCACACUACAUGCAUACAAGCUUUUACCAACUGUAGCCAAGCAGACGGUGAUGAACACAUGUUGCCUAUUUUAGAUCUCAAA